rnacentral:tRNA from 1 species
GGAGGGCAUGCUCAGCGGUAGAGCGCAUGCCUGGCCUGCAUGAGGUGCUGGGUUCAAUCCCCAGCACCUCCU